CCACCUCAUUCUCCAGGGAUGAAAUUAGGAACUACGCUUAUUUUGAGCAAAAGAAAUCUGGCUCAGAAAUCCCUACAGGUGGCGGAUAAAGUGUCUCUUAGCAGAGCUUUGUCUUACACGAGGUGGCUUACAGAGAGUAAGACGUCAAGAAGCCGAGGAUCAACGAUUGUUCAGUGAGUGACUCGCGCCCAGCCUACUUUGGGCUUCGCGUCUGCGUGUUCCCAAUUAAUUCCCGAAGCCCUGUCAAACAGACUGGCAAAAGGCAAUGACAAGUCCUCCUCUCCUGGCCAAUCCUAUAAAAGGAUGGGCUUGGCUCAUAAACCAAUCAGAGACCCCCAAGGGGGCGGAGUUUUCUUUGGCCUGGAUCUCUGCCUGAGGGGUAAAACUAAAACGUUUCCACCUCCAGCCAAUCCCAGAGAAGGCAGGAGCGCACUCCUCCAAUGGGAGCCCGAGAGCGGUCAGUGGCCGUGGAGGCCUGCUACCCCCGCUAGCUCUCCAGCCCGCCGGAGGGACGCUAGAUCCAGCCGCCGGCCCCUUGAAUCUGCUCCCCCUCGGCAGCGGUGGCGCGGAGGGCAGGAGGUGUCUGGUGAGACGGUCAGCGGGUAUCGGAGGAUCGUGCGGGUAGCAAAGGGAUGGCGAGUGCCCCUGCAGCCCCAGACAACAACCAGGUGAGUACCCCCGCGGAGCUCAUUACCCAUGCCCACCCCUGUCUCUUGGGAAAGGGUUCUGUGCUGGUCUGCAGCUCACGUGAUCAUCUGCAUGCCUGUAAGUCUCCAUCUCUCUGCCGCUCCUCUCCCUCUCCAUCUUUCUGUGUGUCUCUGUAUUUCUCCCCGUUUCCUUCUCUGAGACAUACUAGACAGCUCAGACCUAGAAGGCUGAACCCUGACCCUGCCAAUUAAAACAAACCAUGAGACCUUGAGCCAUCUGCAUCACCUGUAUGGGCCUCAGUUUCCUCAUCUGUCAAAUGGGAGUCUAAUAAUCUCCACCUGAGAGAAUAUAUGUGCAUCACUUUGCCCUGUGCCGGGCCCCUAGAACAUUUUCAAUAAAUCAUGACUGUCGUGACUGAAAAAAAAUCUCUCUCGGUCUUUGGCUUUUUUUUUCUCCCUGUCUCUGACCCACUCUCAUUGAUUCUUCUUUCUGAAUGCUUCUUUUUUCUGUUCCUGUUUUUCAUCUUUCUGUCUCUUUCCCAUUUCUAAGCAGAUUAGAGGUGCAUUGUUUAUAGCAAUGAGUUAGGCCUUAGAGCUUAGCCUGGGGCUCUAGACUGUUCUGUGGUGUGUGUGUGGGGGGGUGUGGAAUGGAGCCUGGCCUUGGUCUGCUUCUGGCCUCACUGUAGAGAGAACCUUCUUUGUUCCUCACCUUACUGUGUUAAACAGGCAGAGACCUCCAGAGUGGGAAGCAACUUAGAUGAAAAAGUGAACCAGGCCCUUUAUCCUUUAUAAUUUUUUUCACCACCAGAAGACCAGGAUUCUCCUAGUUACAUCUCCACACAGCCCUGAAUUCCCUCUUUUCUGUCUCCAUCCUGAAAUUCUUUAACCAGGCCUUCUGGAACUCACCAUCAGGCGUCAGCGAAAUCUUCAUCCUCACUCUGGCUUCUGAACAAUUUCUUUGUUGUCUUGUCAUGCUUUAGUGGUUCUCAUACCUAUUGGACCCAACAUUCCAUUUUUAUAAUUUAUAUUUUGAGAUUCUUUCACUAUUCUGAAAUGAAGUGCAUAGAGAACAUAAUCUGCCUACACACAUAAUCCCUCCCCAACCAAUGUAAUGUCCUAAUUGUAAUAUAAGAAGGAAGCAAGGGAAGAGUAAUUUCUAAUAAAACAAUAUGUGUUUCAAUAUGUAAAGACUAAAAUAUAAUUUUACUAGAAGACAUAACGAAUGGUCUUGCAUGUAAUGAUACUUGUAUCUGGGAAUGUGACACAUAUGUGUUGAUUGCUGACUUAGAAACCAUGAUGAUGUGAUUUUCCAUGUCAUGAAUAAUUCUUCAUAAAGUUUUAAACAAAGUGCAAUCCUCCUUCAAUUUGUUGAAUUUCUGGAAAAGUCAGUACAUAUUAAAAUCCAUGGUCCGGCCUCCAUAACUUCUCUGACCUUCUCUCCUACCAUUCUCCCCAUUUGUUCCCUCUAUUCUACCCAUCCUAGCCUCCUUUAUGAUACUUGAACAUUGUAGGCACACUUCCACCUCAGGUGUUUGUACUGGGCCAUCCCCUGGACCUAGAAUGCGUUUCCCCCAAAUAUGUACAAGGCUCAUGACCUCACUUCCUUCAGGUCUCUAUUAAGAUGUCACUUUCUCAAUGAGGCCUACCCUGACCAUACUGUUUAAAAUUACCACUCUCUCCUAAGAUAUACCCCAACCUAUUUUUUCCAUACUACUCCUCACCCUCUUCAAUAAUGUAUCAUCAACACCUUCAUUGUGUUUGCUGUUUAUUGUUUGACUCUCCUACUGGACUGUAAGCUCCAGAAGGGCAGAGAUUUUUGUCUUUUCUGUGCUUGAUGUACCCCUAUUACCUAAAAACAGUGCUUAGCCUCUAAUAGGCACUCUCGAUAGAUGUUUGUUGAAUGAAUAAAUGAGUGAAAUGAACAGGUUUUUCACUGAGAUUAUUGUCUGGUGGGACAUUCUAAAGUUGUAUGGGAUGCAGUACAAUUUUUUUGCUGUGUGGUGCUGUCUUGUGCACUGUGGGAUACUGAGCACUCCUGGUCCAUGGCCACUAAAUGUCACUAGUGAUCUCCAAUUACUGUGAUAAUAAAAAAUGCCCCCAAACAUUCCUUGACUGUCUAUGGCCCUGCUGAGAACCAUUGCUCGAAUAGAAAUUGGCUUUCCCCUGAGCACGCUGCUCACCAGGAGCCCCUCAUAUCCUUCUUGCCAGGAGGCCAAGAGGUGAAGGUAGGUGUCCUCAGUUGAAUUCAUCUUCCCACUUUCUCUCUUCCCACCUCAAACAACUUUCCUUUUAGAAUUAAAAAAAAGGGGGGGGAUCCCUGGGUGGCUCAGCGGUUUGACGCCUGCCUUUGGCACAGGGCGCGAUCCUGGAGUCCCGGGAUCGAGUCCCACGUCAAGCUCCCAGCAUGGAGCCUGCUUCUCCCUCCUCCUGUGUCUCUGCCUCUCUCUCUCUCUCUCUCUCUCUGUCUAUAAUAAAUAAAUAAAUAAAUAAAUAAAUAAAUAAAUAAAUAAAUAAAUAAAAUAAAUAAAAAAGAAUUUAAAAAAUUGUUUUAAAGUAAUUUCAGAUUUAAAAAGUUGUAGAAAUAAGGCAAAGAAUUCUCAUAUCUCCCUUCACUCAGAUUCUUUAAGUGUUAAUAAAUUAUUCAACUCUUGUUCAAUUCUCAAAAUUAGAGAGUUUAUCUUGAUAAAAUACUAUUAAUGAAAGUAUAGAACUUAUUCAGAUUUCAUCAGUUAUCCCACAAAUAUAAUUUUUCUCUUCUAGGAUCUAAUUCAGGAUUCCACAGUGCAUUUAGUUGUCAUGUCUCCUUAGGCUCUUUCAAUCUGGGACAGUUCUUUAGUCUUUGUCUCUCAUGACUUUGAUACUUUUUUUUUUUACUUUGAUACUUUUGAAGCAUUCUGCCCAACUAUUUUACAGAAUUUGGGUUUGUCUGAUGUUUCUUUGUGAUUAUAGUUAAGUUAUGUGAUUUUGGCAAGAAUACCACAGAAGAGAUGUGUCUUCGGUGCUUUAUAUCAAAAAGCACACGAUUUCAGUUUGUCUUGAUACUAGUUUUAUUCACUUUGACUAUUUAUUUAUUAAGGUGAUGUCUGCCAGGUUUCUCCAGUAUGGUUACUCUUUUAUCCUUUGCUUUUUUAUUUUUUAUUUUUUAUUUAUUCCUUUGCUUUUUUAAAAUAUUUUUUAUUUUUUUAUUCAUCAGAGACAGAGAGAAAGGCAGAGACACAGGCAGGGGGAGAAGCAGGCUCCAUGCAGGCAGCCUGACGUGGAACUCGAUCCCGGGACUCCAAGACCACGCCCUGGGCCGAAGGCAGAUGCCAAACCGCUGAGCCACCCAGGGAUCCCCCUCUUUUUUCCUUUGUAAUAAGUAAUUUGUGGGGGAUACUUUAAGAUUAUGUAAAUAUCAACCACCUUGUUUUGUUUUGUUUUGUUUUUUGAGAGAGAGAGAGGGAGUGGGGGAGGGGCAGAGAGAAAGAGAGAGAGUGAGAACUCUAAAAACUCCACACCCAGGGUGGAGCCCAACAUGGGACUGUAUCUGACCCUGAGGUCAUGACCUGAGCCAAAAUUGCGAGGCAGACACUCAACCGACUGAGCCACCCAGGCAUCCCACAACCACCUUGUUUUAAAUCUCAGAUCAUCACAUUAUACCAUUACCCACCCGUCUGUGUUAUAGUCAGGUACAGACAUACACACAUACCUGCCCCAGUCAUACUUCAUUCCUAGAAUUUAGCUGUCAGCUCACUGACACUCUUGAACACUACCCCAGUCCCACUUCUUGGGUAGUUUAAUAUCCUCAUAGAUGAUCCUUCCAAUGUUCCUGUUUCUCAGUUCUGUGAUCUGCUUUCCUUUAACGCUUUUGCCUUUCAACCCUCCCACAGCCACCCUCUACAACAGUUUUAACCCCUCUUAUCAGUACCUAUGACUGCAUCGCCUCCAUACUCUGCUUCAGGCAUCCUGCCAUCCAGCCAGUGCUUCUUAUCCUCUAGUGUACUCUGUACUCUGACCCCUCAACUCCAAUGAUCCCUCAACACCACCAAGAUGGAAAAUUUUCACUACCCUUUACUUCCUCCCUGUUCAUGUGUCCUUCCUUUAGCUAG
rnacentral:lncRNA from 1 species